AAAUCUCUAGACUGGCAAAUCUGCGAAGCCCCACCAACAAAGUGGCAAAAGUCCAAAUAUCUCCCCACCGUCGCACCAUCUCCCUCCUCCCUCAUGACUAGCCGCAGCGCCAGGAGAUUGCCGCCCCUCCUCCCUCAUCAACAGGCGCAGCACUAGGAGAGUUGCCGCCGACGAGAUCCAGCGCCUCGCAAGGUCCUCCGGUCGGCUGUCGUGCCCGCCGCUCCUUCAACCAAAUUUGCGCCCUUGAUUCCCUCUUCUCUUGCGUCGCGCGGUGCCUGCUGCUCCACCAUGUCGCGGUUACCUCGUGGAUGACGGGGCCAUGGACCGGUCCUUGAAGGAGAGAAGGAAGAUGAGGGAGAGAGAAGGAAGGAGAGAGGAAAGAGGAGAGGGAGGUGCAGCGGCGGAUGGGAGAUAGUUAUCGGCCGGCAUCAGUCAUUCAUCCAUUCGCAUCUCUCCUCCUCUCCUGCUCUCGACCACUAAUGUGCCCCUCCUCCUUCCCUUCUCUUCUCACCAUCUCCUCAUCUUUGGAGCUAGCUGAGUGAUCCACAUCGAGGAAGAUGGGGAAGAAAGAGCCAACACCGCCGAUGCCCACGGGCCACUUCAGUCAGGCGCCUUCCAUUCUUCCUCCCUUAGGAUUUCCAAUCCAAGGUUAGUUUUCCUUUGUAUCUAUAUAUGCUUGACAAAAUGACAAGGCCUUGCAGCUGAAAAUAAAAUGGAGCCGGCAACAAGGAUGAUGGGAGAAACAACGGUGGCUGAACAGUAGAUACCGGAAGCUGGCCGAGAAAGAGGGAGGCAGUGCGGGGCGGAAGAGGGCAUCCAUGUGGUAUCCGUUUUUGCUCAUCUUUAGCUUACAGGUGAGCGUUUUACUAAAAUUGUAGCCAGUCCAUACUACAUGCUCCCUGAGGUAUUAAAGCACAACUAUGGCCCUGAAAUCGAUGUCUGGAUUGUAGGAGUUAUACUUUACAUACUUCUUUGUGGUGUGCAAACAUUUUUGGAAGAUUCUGAACAGGGAGUAGCACAAGCAAUUAUGUGCUCUGUGGUAGAUUUCAAAAGCGACCCAAGGCCCAGGGUAUCUGAGCCUGCUAAAGACUUUGUUCGGCAGAUGCUGGAUCGAAAUCCAAUCACACGGUUUACUGCAACACAAGUAUUCAGUGAGCAUUAUGAUAUUACCUUUCCCAUUGUGUAAUAGCAUACAGAAUGUUUUCUCUCUCUCAUAAUGGUGAAUUCAGUCUUACAUUCGGGUAUGUCUUUUUUAUGCCAUAGCCAUGGCCAAUUGAUAAUUAACUUGCAAGGUUUUAAUAAUUGCAUCAGACAAUUUCACUGUUUAUUUUGUGGCAUUGUUGAUUGCAUCAGUAGAACAUCCAUGGUUACAUGAUUCUAAAAAGAACACUGACAUUUCUCAAUAUAAUCGGUGGUGUCUGUCAGUAGGAUCUCCCUAAACAUGCGUCAUCAAAUCCAACCACAAGCUACACGACAAGCUAUGAUUGAAUACCAUGUACAAGUAUGGGGACAGAGUAGUAAACAACAAAUAAAGGAUACUAGACGGAUAUACUGGACGGAUGCAUGGAGUAUGAACUCCUCUUUUUCAGGGGCCACCUUACUCGUGUGCCCUCAGGCUGAGGAGACCUUUCUAAGUGUACAUGGAGGAUGUGAAAGCGAUGACAGAGGAGCUUGCUGUAGCUUCUUGCCUGCUCCGGGAAUCCCUUCCCUCCUGACGAAGCACGAUGCCAUGUCCUAGAGUAUGUUCACGCAGUUCUAUGUAGAAGGGCCUUUUGUCCUAGAGUAUGUUCAUGUAUGUAUAUAUUCUGACAAUUAUAUGUGACUGAUUAAUUAACUAAAACUUGAGAGGUGAAAAGGACAAGUGUUUUCAAAUGAAGGAAUAUAUUGUACGUGCAGCUAAUUACAUACAAAUAUGCAUUAGUUCCUAAUAGUUGAAAGUUUGGAUAUUAGGUAUAUGUUAAAGAGUAGGGAUCCUAACUGGGACGUGGUGAUUUGGUGCUCGGGCUCAGAUGAGCCCGAAAUCUGAGCUUUCCGCUGGUGCAUUGGGAUCGUAGAAAGUCUGACACGCGCGACAGAGUCCAAGCAGGGAAAAAUGCGUAUACGCGAUCUAUACAACCUCCUACAGUGUGCUCUUGUGGGCCUUUUUUGUAGCUCGCGGCGUCCAUCCGUUAGGAGUGGUCUGUGGGCCGUGGAACAGAACGCUAGAGAAAUAGGUCCAGGUCGUUUCGGCAAACCUGAGCUGUCCCAGCUAGCACGGCAGUGGACGGCGACCGAGGAAUAGUGAGACCGACCAGGGGUGGGAGGUACCCCGUGCGUAUGGCGUGUGCGGCGGCCGCUCUUUCUGAUGACGCUGUGGCGAUGGAAGCUUACGGGCUGGAAUUCCUCCUAGAUCCAGUAGAGUAGACCGGUGAGUUCCCCUAAGCCAGCGCGGUCCUAAUUUAAUUUAACCUAAACUAGUUUAGUUAACAGGGCUGGCCCCACGCGUCAGUGACCCAGGGCGGUCAAACCCUGGUCAACGGGGUCAAACCUAGUUAACCGGGGCUAACCCCAUCGGUGACUCGACGCCGGCGAGGCCAGACGCGGCGGCGGGCUGCGGGAUUGCGUCUCCGGCGACCAAUGGGUG